AGAGUUUGAUCAUGGCUCAGGACGAACGCUGGCGGCGUGCCUAACACAUGCAAGUCUACUUGAAGCUACAGCUUGCUGUAGUGAACGGUGGCGAACGGGUGAGUAACGCGUAGACAACCUACCAUUUAAAGAGGGAUAAUUCACUGAAAAGAGGACUAAUACCUCAUGUGCUCUUAAAUCGGCAUCGAUUAAAGAGGAAAGACUUCGGUCGUUAAAUGAUGGGUCUGCGUAUCAUUAGUUAGUUGGUAAGGUAACGGCUUACCAAGACAUCGAUGAUUAGCUGGUCUGAGAGGAUGAUCAGCCACACUGGGACUGAGAUACGGCCCAGACUCCUACGGGAGGCAGCAGUGAGGAAUAUUGCACAAUGGGGGCAACCCUGAUGCAGCAACGCCGCGUGUACGAAGAAUCUGAUUACAGUGUAAAGUACUGUUAGAAGGGACGAAAUGACGGAUUAGUAGUCUGUUUUGCCGGUACCUUCUAAGAAAGCUCCGGCUAACUCCGUGCCAGCAGCCGCGGUAAUACGGGGGGAGCAAGCGUUGUCCGGAAUCAUUGGGCGUAAAGGGCAUGUAGGUGGUAAUUUAAGUCAGUUUUUAAAUGUCACGGCUUAACCGUGGACUGGAAUUGAAACUGGAUUACUUGAGUAUGAGAGGGGACAGAGGAAUACCUAGUGUAGCGGUGGAAUGCGUAGAUAUUAGGUAGAACACCCGAGGCGAAGGCGUCUGUCUGGCUCAUUACUGACGCUGAAAUGCGAAAGCAUGGGUAGCGAACAGGAUUAGAUACCCUGGNAGUCCAUGCCGUAAACGAUGGAUACUAGGUGUCGGGGGACUAGCCCCCUNGGUGCCGUAGCAAACGCGUUAAGUAUCCCNCCUGGGG
rnacentral:rRNA from 1 species